rnacentral:rRNA from 1 species
AGGGUAAAGAUUUAUCGCUUCGAGAUGGAUCUGCGUCCUAUCAGCUUGUUGGUAAGGUAAUGGCUUACCAAGGCUAAGACGGGUAGCUGGUCUGAGAGGAUGGUCAGCCACAAUAGCACUGAGAUACGGGCUAUACUCCUACGGGAGGCAGCAAUUAGGAAUCUUGCACAAUGGGGGAAACCCUGAUGCAGCGACACCGCGUGAAGGAUGAAGGUUUUCGGAUUGUAAACUUCUUUUAUAGUCUAACAAGUUCUGAGUGGACUAUGAAUAAGCACCUGCUAACUGCGUGCCAGAAGCAUCGGUGAUGCGUGGGGUGCGAGCGUUAUCCGGAUUUAUUGGGCGUAAAGAGAAGCGUAGGUGUUUUGAUGUGUCUAUUGUUAAAUACUCCGGCUCAACUGGAGGUAUGCAAUGGAAACUGUCAAAAUCGAGGCAGAGAGGGGGAAAUAGAAUUCCCGGUGGAGCGGUGAAAUGUGUUGAUAUCGGGAGGAAUACCAGUGGCGAAGGCGAUUUCCUGGCUCUGUUCUGACACUAAGGCUCGAAAGCGUGGGUAGCAAAACGGAUUAGAUACCCGUGUAGUCCACGCCAUAAACGUUCCUCACUAGAUGUUGGGUGAGUUGACUUAUGGAACUUGUUUCUAUUUGUUAGCAAGCUCAGUGUCGUAGCUAACGCAUUAAGUGAGGCGCCUGGGAAGUACGGCCGCAAGGCUAAAACUCAAAGGAAUUGGCGGGGACCCGCACAAGCGGUGGAGCGCGUGGUUUAAUUCGAUGUAAUCGAAGAACCUUACCAAGGUUUGACAUAUAGCUGCUAAGCCUAUGAAAAUAGGAAUCCUUCGAGGGUGCUAUACAGGUGCUGCAUGGCCGCCGUCAGCUCGUGUCGUGAGAUGUAGGGUUAAGUCCCGAAACGAGCGCAACCCUUAUCCCGUGUUAUAUUUGUCUCGGGAAACUGCCUCGGUAAAACGAGGAGGAAGGUGGGGAUGACGUCUGGUCCGCAUGGCCUUUAUGCCUUGGGCUACACACGCGCUACAAUGGUCGGUACAAAGGGCUGCCAAGCUGUAAAGCGGAGCAAAUCCCAUCAAAACCGAUCUCAGUUCGGAUUGAGGUCUGAAACUCGACCUCAUGAAGUUGGAAUCGCUAGUAAUCGUGGAUCAGCCAUGCCGCGGUGAAUACGUUCUCGGGUCUUGCACACACCGCCCGUCAUGUCAUGAAAGCUGGGGGUACCCGAAGUUAUCGUGCCCUGC